GCCUGGGUGGCUCAGGCGGUUAAGUGUCUGACUUCGGCUCAGGUCAUGAUCUCAGGUCUCAUGGGUUCGAGCCCCAUGUCAGGCU
rfam:Felis catus isolate Cinnamon breed Abyssinian chromosome A2, whole genome shotgun sequence.